rnacentral:rRNA from 1 species
CCUACGGGCGGCAGCAGUGGGGAAUAUUGCACAAUGGGGGAAACCCUGAUGCAGCGACGCCGCGUGAGUGAAGAAGUAUUUCGGUAUGUAAAGCUCUAUCAGCAGGGAAGAAAAUGACGGUACCUGACUAAGAAGCCCCGGCUAACUACGUGCCAGCAGCCGCGGUAAUACGUAGGGGGCAAGCGUUAUCCGGAUUUACUGGGUGGAAAGGGAGCGUAGACGGUGAUGCAAGUCAGAAGUGAAAGCCCGGGGCUCAACUCCGGGACUGCUUUUGAAACUGUGUGACUGGAGUGCAGGAGAGGUGAGCGGAAUUCCUGGUGUAGCGGUGAAAUGCGUAGAUAUCAGGAGGAACACCAGUGGCGAAGGCGGCUUACUGGACUGUAACUGACGUUGAGGCUCGAAAGCGUGGGGAGCAAACAGGAUUAGAUACCCGAGUAGUC